AGUUUUCAUCCCACAACCCAAGUCCACAUCCUGUCACCAGAUGGCUCGACGAACAUCAUGGAGGCCAACCUGCUCAGAAUGAGAAUCGGUGCACAAAUAGAACCACAUUUCACCAGGAGAAAUAAUUUUAAUCCAGGAUGAGGAUUUGCACGAGUGUGAGGGAGGAUUACCAGAACAUCACAUCUUCCCUUGCGAAAUUUGGCUACCGAAGUCUGCCACGAAGAUUUCGUCUGGAAAACCUGUGAAGGAACAGCCAGGGACAACGCUUGUGGAAUUAAAGGCUUGAAUAAUACAUGGCUGAAAGCAUCCGUCUCUUCGAGCUGCUUCUACGCACAGACACCGGGGGAUUUGAAGG